rnacentral:sRNA from 1 species
ACAUUCAAUUGUUUCUCCUU